GGCCGCAGGCCUAACACAUGCAAGUCGAGCGGAUGAAGGGAGCUUGCUCCUGGAUUCAGCGGCGGACGGGUGAGUAAUGCCUAGGAAUCUGCCUGGUAGUGGGGGAUAACGUCCGGAAACGGGCGCUAAUACCGCAUACGUCCUGAGGGAGAAAGUGGGGGAUCUUCGGACCUCACGCUAUCAGAUGAGCCUAGGUCGGAUUAGCUAGUUGGUGGGGUAAAGGCCUACCAAGGCGACGAUCCGUAACUGGUCUGAGAGGAUGAUCAGUCACACUGGAACUGAGACACGGUCCAGACUCCUACGGGAGGCAGCAGUGGGGAAUAUUGGACAAUGGGCGAAAGCCUGAUCCAGCCAUGCCGCGUGUGUGAAGAAGGUCUUCGGAUUGUAAAGCACUUUAAGUUGGGAGGAAGGGCAGUAAGUUAAUACCUUGCUGUUUUGACGUUACCAACAGAAUAAGCACCGGCUAACUUCGUGCCAGCAGCCGCGGUAAUACGAAGGGUGCAAGCGUUAAUCGGAAUUACUGGGCGUAAAGCGCGCGUAGGUGGUUCAGCAAGUUGGAUGUGAAAUCCCCGGGCUCAACCUGGGAACUGCAUCCAAAACUACUGAGCUAGAGUACGGUAGAGGGUGGUGGAAUUUCCUGUGUAGCGGUGAAAUGCGUAGAUAUAGGAAGGAACACCAGUGGCGAAGGCGACCACCUGGACUGAUACUGACACUGAGGUGCGAAAGCGUGGGGAGCAAACAGGAUUAGAUACCCUGGUAGUCCACGCCGUAAACGAUGUCGACUAGCCGUUGGGAUCCUUGAGAUCUUAGUGGCGCAGCUAACGCGAUAAGUCGACCGCCUGGGGAGUACGGCCGCAAGGUUAAAACUCAAAUGAAUUGACGGGGGCCCGCACAAGCGGUGGAGCAUGUGGUUUAAUUCUAAGCAACGCGAAGAACCUUACCUGGCCUUGACAUGCUGAGAACUUUCCAGAGAUGGAUUGGUGCCUUCGGGAACUCAGACACAGUGCUGCAUGGCUGUCGUCAGCUCGUGUCAUGAGAUGUUGGGUUAAGUCCCGUAACGAGCGCAACCCUUGUCCUUAGUUACCAGCACCUCGGGUGGGCACUCUAAGGAGACUGCCGGUGACAAACCGGAGGAAGGUGGGGAUGACGUCAAGUCAUCAUGGCCCUUACGGCCAGGGCUACACACGUGCUACAAUGGUCGGUACAAAGGGUUGCCAAGCCGCGAGGUGGAGCUAAUCCCAUAAAACCGAUCGUAGUCCGGAUCGCAGUCUGCAACUCGACUGCGUGAAGUCGGAAUCGCUAGUAAUCGUGAAUCAGAAUGUCACGGUGAAUACGUUCCCGGGCCUUGUACACACCGCCCGUCACACCAUGGGAGUGGGUUGCUCCAGAAGUAGCUAGUCUAACCGCAAGGGGGACGGUUACCACGGAGUGAUUCAUGACUGGGCUGAAGUCGAAUCAAG
rnacentral:rRNA from 1 species